UACGUAGGGGGCUAGCGUUGUCCGGAAUCAUUGGGCGUAAAGCGCGCGUAGGCGGCCCGGUAAGUCCGCUGUAAAAGUCAAAGGCUCAACCUUUGAAUGUCAGUGGAUACUGCCGGGCUAGAGUCCGGAAGAGGCGAGUGGAACUCCUGGUGUAGCGGUGAAAUGCGCAGAUAUCGGGAAGAACACCCGUGGCUAAGGCGGCUCUCUAGUACGGUACUGACGCUGAGACGCGAAAGCGUGGGGAGCGAACAGG
rnacentral:rRNA from 1 species